rnacentral:tRNA from 1 species
AUCUAAAUAGCUUAUAUGUUUAAAGUUUAAUAUUGAAGAUAUUAAGAAAAAAUUUUUUUUUAGAUA